AGAGAAUUUUAAAAGAAGCUGCUAACUAUCUUUAAGAUAAAUAAAAUUAUCAUUCUCUU
rnacentral:tRNA from 1 species